rfam:Camelus ferus unplaced genomic scaffold scaffold178, whole genome shotgun sequence.
AGUAAGAAGCCCGGGUGGCCUCGUGUGUACAGGGAAGGGGCGGGGAUAGAGCUGCCUGGACAACCAUUAGGCCCUCUCCGGCUGGGUGGAGCGGGGACUACAUUUCCCAUAGGGCCUCUCCCGGCGUGGGAGGGGAAAAGGAAGUGCCUUGGGUGCAGUGCGCAGGCGUGAGAGGCACCUCGGGCUAUAUAAGGGACGC